rnacentral:tRNA from 1 species
GCACCCAUGGCGGAAUUGGUAGACGCAAGGGACUUAAAAUCCCUCGACUUCGGUCAUCCCGGUUCGACUCCGGGUGGGUGCACCA